UACGGAGGGUGCGAGCGUUGUCCGGAAUCACUGGGCGUAAAGGGUGCGUAGGCGGCCGUGCAAGUCUGGCGUGAAAGCCCCGGGCUCAGCCCGGGAAGUGCGCUCGAAACUGCGCGGCUCGAGUGCCGGAGGGGAGAGUGGAAUUCCUGGUGUAGCGGUGAAAUGCGUAGAUAUCAGGAGGAACACCGAUGGCGAAGGCAGGUCUCUGGGCAUUAACUGACGCUGAGGAGCGAAAGCAUGGGGAGCGAACAGG
rnacentral:rRNA from 1 species